rnacentral:tRNA from 1 species
GCAGCUCAGUGGAAGGUCAUCUGCUUUGCAUGCAAAAGGUCCUAGGUUCAAUGCCUGGCAUCUCCU